AUGCUACGCGCCCAGCUCACGCGCGCCCAAGCUCGCUUCAAGAAGCAAGCCGAUCGUCACCGCGCGGAGCGCGCCUUCGACGUCGGCGAGAACGUGCUCCUCAAACUACAGCCGUACGCGCAGUCGACCGUCGCCAACCGCCCGUGCCGCAAGCUCUCCUACAAGUUCUUCGGCCCUUUUGAAGUGACAGAGCGGAUUGGAACCCUGGCAUAUCGCCUGCAGUUGCCUCCAGACAGCCGCAUCCAUCCGGUAUUUCACGUCUCCCAGCUCAAACCCUUCACUCCAGAUUACACUCCAGUCUUCGCCGAGCUGCCGCGGGUACCCGACCUCACUGGGGGUGAAACGGAGCCAGUGGCGAUCUUGGAGCGGAGGAUGAUGAAGAAGGGCGAUGCACCGGUUGUGCAACUCCGUGUCCAGUGGGCAAACAUGCCAACUUCAGCCACCACUUGGGAAGAUUACACCGUUCUGCGCCAACGCUAUCCAUCAGCCUGCAUCUGGGAAGGAGCUUCAUCUCAAGGGGAGGACAAUGUCGCGCCUACUGAUGCAUCAGUGGCGGACUGA
rnacentral:rRNA from 1 species